GAAGAUUAAAUGUUGAUGUCUUUUCGGAUUAUUUUUCUUGGGAAUUUAGUCAUCAGUGGGAAAGUUGUUUUAGGUUGAAAUUGCUCUUAAUAAAGCUCAUGUCCAUGAAGUCACAGUGAAAUCUGAAGAAGUGUGUGUGCAGUAGGAUGUCCAGCUCAGCAGCAAGAAGAGGCCAGGCAUUUUGAAGACCAGAUCUGAGGGUUCUAUGCAGAGAGCCAUGACGACUGAGGAAUGCAACCUGGAAGCACAUCUGCAGUUCCUUCCUGCACUGAAGUCUUGAGCCCAUCAAAGUCAUGCAUCAGGAUUGGAAUCAGUUCUUACCAAACCUUGGUUCAUGUUGAUAUUUUCACUUCCCAUGAAUCAUGAAUGUUCUUAAUGGGCUCUAAAAUGGUGAAUACUUUCCAGAAAGUU